GUAGUGGUAGUUCAGUGGUAGAAUCCUUGCCUUCUAGGCAGAAGACCCAGGUUCAAUUCCUGGCCAGUGUA
rnacentral:tRNA from 1 species